GUGCUCGAUUCAGCAGCACAUAUACCAAAAUUGGAACAAUACAGUAAUUAGCAUGGCCCUUGCCCAGAGGGUUUUUUUUUUUUUUUUUUUUUUUUUUUUUUU